GGUGCGACACCCAUUGGUACAGACAGCGGGAAGGAGAUUGAAAUGUGCCGUUCGCACUUUGAGGCGGCGGAGUAAGAAAGUGCACACCCUUCAUGAAGUCGUACGAACGUUAUGACAAAGGAAUUCCUCUAUAAAGGAAAAGAGCUUUGAGGAAAAGGUAAGGUGCUGUAUUUUUACAUAUUUAGCGUCAUAAAUAAAGCUUCCUGUUUCGUGCAUUUGUUUCAGAUCAAGCAGCUUCCGAAAAAGCAGCAGUAUGCAGUCCGAGCAUGUUUUGAGGCAUCGAAGCGGCAAUCAAUGCGGGGAUAUCGAUACGAAAAAGCGUGGCUCUUAGAGUGCAUUAUUUUAAGGAUCAAGAGCCCGAGCUUAUACGAGCAUCUCAGGGCCCAUAAGAUCCUUAUACUUCGAAGCCGUUUCUGCCUCCAAAAGUACAUCAAGCUUUCAAGGCAUCUUAUGGCUUUAGUCGCAACCUUCUUGAGUGCGUGAAGGAGAAGGCUAGUGAAAUGGAUGAAAUGAACAGGCAUGGGGGCCUCGUUAUAGACGUGAUGAAACUUUCUACACACCUGGACCUCAAGUCAUCCAUGGAUAUUGAAGGCUUCGUAAACCUUGGACAAUUAACUGGAGCUCAGGACAAGCACACAAAGGCUAAUCAUGGCUUAGUCGUCAUGUUUCAGCCUUUUGUGGCUAAAUGGACGCAGAUAAUUGGGGUCUUUGCUUCGAAUGGAAAUGUGAAGGCGCCAACGCUGACAAAGAUAAUUUUGGAAGGAGUUCUUCUGUGCGAGAAAGCUAAUCUUUAUGUGGACUACAUCUGCACGGACGGCGCAUCAUGGAACCAUGCCAUGUGGCACAACAUGGGUGUUCAUAGAAAUGCUAAACAUGUACGAUGUAAGGUUACACAUCCAUGCGACAACAAGCGCUUCCUCCAUUUUAUCUGGGACUUUCCUCAUCUUGUGAAAUGUGUGCGAAAUAUCAUGAUUAAGCAUGGCUUCAACACAAACAAGGGCCGAGUAAGCACGUUAUUUUAUUCUCAUAAUAUUUUGAAACGUUGGGUACCUGGUGAAGCUGGUUUAC